GGCUCCGUGGCGCAAUGGAUAGCGCAUUGGACUUCUAGUGAAGCACUUGAGAAGUGAUUCAAAGGUUGUGGGUUCGAGUCCCACCGGAGUCG